rnacentral:rRNA from 1 species
AGAUGGCGACCGGCGCACGGGUGAGUAACACGUAUCCAACCUGCCGAUAACUCGGGGAUAGCCUUUCGAAAGAAAGAUUAAUACCCGAUGGUAUAAUCAGACCGCAUGGUUUGAUUAUUAAAGAAUUUCGGUUAUCGAUGGGGAUGCGUUCCAUUAGGUUGUUGGUGAGGUAACGGCUCACCAAGCCUUCGAUGGAUAGGGGUUCUGAGAGGAAGGUCCCCCACAUUGGAACUGAGACACGGUCCAA